rnacentral:lncRNA from 1 species
ACAGACUCACCUUUCUCUGACCUUUGCUCCUACACACAUACAAGCCUUCUUCGCCACUUCUUCUUAUUCUCCGAUCAAAAUUCCGGCGAGCUCGAACUCUAAGCAUCUCAGAUUUAUGUGGUUUAAAAAGUAAAGCUCCAGUUAUGCACAUCAGGUGCUUGUGAAGACGACUGACCGAAUUUAAUCAACAUGGAUUCUUUGGGUUCGAUUUUUGAGUAAGAUCUAUUUAACAAGCUUGGUUGAGCUAAAAUUACUAGAAGUAAAGAAAUGCACACACGCGAAAAGGGGAGAAGAUCUGGUAAAAACAAAUAGAGAGGAGAAAAUCGUGAGAGCAAAAACUAGAGUCGUCUUCUUCUUCUAAUGGUCUGUUUCUUUGAGAUUCAUAUAAAAUGCACACACACAAAGAAGAGAGUAUAAGGUUUCUUGUUAAGUUAAUUUGUGC